rnacentral:rRNA from 1 species
GAAACCGAGUCUUAACUGGGCGUUAAGUUGCAGGGUAUAGACCCGAAACCCGGUGAUCUAGCCAUGGGCAGGUUGAAGGUUGGGUAACACUAACUGGAGGACCGAACCGACUAAUGUUGAAAAAUUAGCGGAUGACUUGUGGCUGGGGGUGAAAGGCCAAUCAAACCGGGAGAUAGCUGGUUCUCCCCGAAAGCUAUUUAGGUAGCGCCUCGUGAAUUCAUCUCCGGGGGUAGAGCACUGUUUCGGCAAGGGGGUCAUCCCGACUUACCAACCCGAUGCAAACUGCGAAUACCGGAGAAUGUUAUCACGGGAGACACACGGCGGGUGCUAACGUCCGUCGUGAAGAGGGAAACAACCCAGACCGCCAGCUAAGGUCCCAAAGUCAUGGUUAAGUGGGAAACGAUGUGGGAAGGCCCAGACAGCCAGGAUGUUGGCUUAGAAGCAGCCAUCAUUUAAAGAAAGCGUAAUAGCUCACUGGUCGAGUCGGCCUGCGCGGAAGAUGUAACGGGGCUAAACCAUGCACCGAAGCUGCGGCAGCGACGCUGAUGCGUUGUUGGGUAGGGGAGCGUUCUGUAAGCCUGUGAAGGUGUGCUGUGAGGCAUGCUGGAGGUAUCAGAAGUGCGAAUGCUGACAUAAGUAACGAUAAAGCGGGUGAAAAGCCCGCUCGCCGGAAGACCAAGGGUUCCUGUCCAACGUUAAUCGGGGCAGGGUGAGUCGACCCCUAAGGCGAGGCCGAAAGGCGUAGUCGAUGGGAAACAGGUUAAUAUUCCUGUACUUGGUGUUACUGCGAAGGGGGGACGGAGAAGGCUAUGUUGGCCGGGCGACGGUUGUCCCGGUUUAAGCGUGUAGGCUGGUUUUCCAGGCAAAUCCGGAAAACUAAGGCUGAGGCGUGAUGACGAGGCACUACGGUGCUGAAGCAACAAAUGCCCUGCUUCCAGGAAAAGCCUCUAAGCAUCAGGUAACAUCAAAUCGUACCCCAAACCGACACAGGUGGUCAGGUAGAGAAUACCAAGGCGCUUGAGAGAACUCGGGUGAAGGAACUAGGCAAAAUGGUGCCGUAACUUCGGGAGAAGGCACGCUGAUAUGUAGGUGAAGUCCCUCGCGGAUGGAGCUGAAAUCAGUCGAAGAUACCAGCUGGCUGCAACUGUUUAUUAAAAACACAGCACUGUGCAAACACGAAAGUGGACGUAUACGGUGUGACGCCUGCCCGGUGCCGGAAGGUUAAUUGAUGGGGUCAGCGCAAGCGAAGCUCUUGAUCGAAGCCCCGGUAAACGGCGGCCGUAACUAUAACGGUCCUAAGGUAGCGAAAUUCCUUGUCGGGUAAGUUCCGACCUGCACGAAUGGCGUAAUGAUGGCCAGGCUGUCUCCACCCGAGACUCAGUGAAAUUGAACUCGCUGUGAAGAUGCAGUGUACCCGCGGCAAGACGGAAAGACCCCGUGAACCUUUACUAUAGCUUGACACUGAACAUUGAGCCUUGAUGUGUAGGAUAGGUGGGAGGCUUUGAAGUGUGGACGCCAGUCUGCAUGGAGCCGACCUUGAAAUACCACCCUUUAAUGUUUGAUGUUCUAACGUUGACCCGUAAUCCGGGUUGCGGACAGUGUCUGGUGGGUAGUUUGACUGGGGCGGUCUCCUCCUAAAGAGUAACGGAGGAGCACGAAGGUUGGCUAAUCCUGGUCGGACAUCAGGAGGUUAGUGCAAUGGCAUAAGCCAGCUUGACUGCGAGCGUGACGGCGCGAGCAGGUGCGAAAGCAGGUCAUAGUGAUCCGGUGGUUCUGAAUGGAAGGGCCAUCGCUCAACGGAUAAAAGGUACUCCGGGGAUAACAGGCUGAUACCGCCCAAGAGUUCAUAUCGACGGCGGUGUUUGGCACCUCGAUGUCGGCUCAUCACAUCCUGGGGCUGAAGUAGGUCCCAAGGGUAUGGCUGUUCGCCAUUUAAAGUGGUACGCGAGCUGGGUUUAGAACGUCGUGAGACAGUUCGGUCCCUAUCUGCCGUGGGCGCUGGAGAACUGAGGGGGGCUGCUCCUAGUACGAGAGGACCGGAGUGGACGCAUCACUGGUGUUCGGGUUGUCAUGCCAAUGGCACUGCCCGGUAGCUAAAUGCGGAAGAGAUAAGUGCUGAAAGCAUCUAAGCACGAAACUUGCCCCGAGAUGAGUUCUCCCUGACUCCUUGAGAGUCCUGAAGGAACGUUGAAG